rnacentral:rRNA from 1 species
CACGGACCAUGGAAGUAAAAGUCGUAACAAGGUCUCCGUUGGUGAACCAGCGGAGGGAUCAUUA